AGCAGCCGCGGUAAUUCCAGCUCCAAUAGCGUAUAUUAAAGUUGUUGCAGUUAAAAAGCUCGUAGUUGAACUUCGGGGUCUACCCAUUGGUCAGGCUUAAUUGUCUGCACUGGUGAGAUGGAUCUCUACCUUCUGAGGAACUUUCAUGCCAUUUAUUUGGUGUGGUUGGAAAUCAGGACUGUUACUUUGAAAAAUUAGAGUGUUUAAAGCAGACUAUCGUCUGAAUACAUUAGCAUGGAAUAAUGAAAUAGGACGGACUGAUUCUAUUUCGUUGGUUUCUAGGAUCACCGUAAUGAUUAAUAGGGAUAGUUGGGGGCAUUAGUAUUCAAUUGUCAGAGGUGAAAUUCUUGGAUUUAUUGAAGACUAACUACUGCGAAAGCAUUUGCCAAGGAUGUUUUCAUUAAUCAAGAACGAAAGUUAGGGGAUCGAAGACGAUCAGAUACCGUCGUAGUCUUAACCAUAAACUAUGCCGACUAGGGAUCGGACGAAGUUAAUUUUAUAAUGACGCGUUCGG
rnacentral:rRNA from 1 species